rnacentral:lncRNA from 1 species
CGUGCACUGAGGAGACCUGCUCAGCUGCAGGAAUCAGCAAAGGAUUCUGCCUGACCAUGCAGGGCUCAGGGUCCCAUGGUGUGCACAGCAUCUGCAGUCCUGGGGACACCACUGCUGAGUCUGACCUUCAAAUCUCUCGAAGGAGGCACAUGGUGCAGAGGAGGGGAUGUGAGAGCUGCUCUGCCCCGGAUGGAUGGACUGUGUGAGGGUGCAUGAGGCAAGCCUUGACUCCAGAGUCUCUUCCCCAAGUGAUGAAGAGCAAACCUCGCUCUGGUUGGUCCCACAGCACUGCUGCUAACCACAGCAGCAGCAGCAGCUCUCCGCACUCCCACCACAUGCAGAACCCAGCACAGCUGGGAUGCUGCUCACCCAGGCAUUGUCCAGAGGGAGCGCCAUUCCCCCGGAGACCGUGGCAUGGAUUUUGUUGCAAAUAACUCAAUAAUGACACUGCAACUCCUUCUUUGCCCAGGACUCGCCUGCACACUGUGGCAGACUCCUGCUCAAGCGUUGGAGGGCCGGAAUCCCUGAUGGAGGUUCCAUGAAUGCCUUUGGGGUGGAGGACCUCAACACCACAGAGCUGUUCUGGAGGAGGAAGAGGAGGAGGAGGAGGAGGAGCUCAGUGCAGGGCCUCACAGCACGGUGCCAUCCAGGGGGGACAGGAGCUGGUCCUCCCCACCCACCCCAGCACUGCGAGCAUCGGGAGGCAUCAGCCUUCGUGCCACUUGUGUAAACUAUUACAGCAAAGGGCAGAGGUUAAACGCAGCACAUGUGUGGCAUCAAUUAACAGGAUUUCAAGGUCUCUGGUGGAGUUUCUGCUCAAAUCUCCUGUGGCAGGUUUGGUUUUCUUAACCCCUCGGAUGCCAUGCGGUUGGCAGCCUCGGCUCUGCGCUGCUCCCUGCUGCUGCGGGGGUCCCCCAGGGCCACGUUGGGAGCAGCCUCAGUCAAUUUAGGCACAAGGGGACAGCACACAGCCCAUGGGUCUGG